rnacentral:rRNA from 1 species
CAAUAGCGUAUAUUAAAGUUGUUGCAGUUAAAAAGCUCGUAGUCGGAUUUUGGCAUCACGCCGCACUGUCUGCCGAUUGGUAAGUACGGUUUGGCGGUUGCUUCCUUCCGGUGCUGUAUGCUGCUCUUAAUUGAGCGGUAUGCUAGUUCCGGUUCAUUUACUUUGAGAAAAUUAGAGUGUUCAAAGCAGGCCUAUGCUCUGAAUAGGUUAGCAUGGAAUAAUAGAAUAGGACUUUGGUUCUAUUUGUUGGUUUCUAGGACCGAAGUAAUGAUUAAUAGGGACAGUUGGGGGCAUUCAUAUUCCAUUGUCAGAGGUGAAAUUCUUGGAUUAACGGAAGAUGAACUUCUGCGAAAGCAUCUGCCAAGGAUGUUUUCAUUGA